rnacentral:tRNA from 1 species
UGGGUUGUGGCUCAGUGGUGGAGUGCUUGCCUAGUGUGUAUGAGGCACUGGGUUUGAGCCUCAGCACCACAU